rnacentral:rRNA from 1 species
CAGUAGCCACGGUAAAACGGAGGGGGCUAGCGUUGUUCGGAAUUACUGGGCGUAAAGCGCACGUAGGCGGCUUGGUAAGUUAGAGGUGAAAGCCCGGAGCUCAACUCCGGAAUUGCCUUUAAGACUGCCGAGCUAGCAGGUGAGAGAGGUAAGUGGAAUUCCGAGUGUAGAGGUGAAAUUCGUAGAUAUUCGGAAGAACACCAGUGGCGAAGGCGGCUUACUGGCUCAUACUGGACGCUGAGGUGCGAAAGCGUGGGGAGCAAACAGGAUUAGAUACCCCUGUAGUCCCUGUCUCUUAUAA